GCCCACCUGUCCUGCGGCACUGGAUGCUUUAUGCCUGUGAGGAGCCACCAACAUUUGAAGCCAUGGAGCUCAUUGGUAAACCAAAACCCUACUAUGACAUUGGUGAACGAGUAGAUUAUAAGUGUAAAAAAGGAUACUUCUAUAUACCUCCUCUUGCCACCCAUACUAUUUGUGAUCGGAAUCAUACAUGGCUACCUGUCUCAGAUGACGCCUGUUAUAGAGAAACGUGUCCAUAUAUAGGGGAUCCUUUAAAUGGCCAAGCAAUCCUUGCAAAUGGGACUUACGAGUUUGGUUAUCAGAUACACUUUAUUUGUAAUGAGGGUUAUUACUUAAUUGGUAAUGAAAUUCUAUAUUGUGAACUUAAAGGAUCAGUAGCAAUUUGGAGCGGUAAGCCCCCAAUAUGUGAAA
rnacentral:sRNA from 1 species